UACAGAGGUCUCAACCGUUGUUCGGAUUCAUUGGGCGUAAAGGGUGCGUAGGCGGUCGCGCAAGUCGGAUGUGAAAUCUCAGGGCUCAACCCUGAAACUGCAUUCGAUACUGCGUGGCUAGAGUGCUGGAGGGGAGACUGGAAUUUACGGUGUAGCAGUGAAAUGCGUAGAGAUGCGGAGGAACACCGAUGGCGAAGGCAGCCCCCUGGGCUAGCACUGACGCUCAUGCACGAAAGCGUGGGGAGCAAACAGG
rnacentral:rRNA from 1 species